UACGUAGGGCGCAAGCGUUGUCCGGAAUUAUUGGGCGUAAAGAGCUCGUAGGCGGUCUGUUACGUCUGCUGUGAAAACCCGGGGCUUAACCCCGAGCCUGCUUCCGAUACGGGCAGACUAGAGGUAUGCAGGGGAGAAUGGAAUUCCUGGUGUAGCGGUGAAAUGCGCAGAUAUCAGGAGGAACACCGGUGGCGAAGGCGGGUCUCUGGGCAGUAACUGACGCUGAGGAGCGAAAGCGUGGGGAGCAAACAGG
rnacentral:rRNA from 1 species